AGGGGAAGGUGGCCUCUUAAAUCCCUUCCUACACUGUAUUUCUGUGACUCAUCCAGACCUGCCUUCAAUGGGCUGUUGCACUACCACAUUGUUAGUUUAACUUCUUUGUAUCCUGAAUAGCCAGUGGGUCGGUAAAAGAAGUUCUUUGUGCCUUUGGUGGGAGAGAAUGGCACGAGGGUUGUUCUUGGAUGAGGCCCAGGGUAAGUGUGGGGUGAGGAGGGAGUGAAAAAAAAAAAUCCCCAGAAAAGGGAAAAGAAAAGUGUCUGUUUCACAAAGCCUGACCUUCAGCAGAACUGCCGUUUCCUGAAGCUGCACAAAAUGUACCAAGCAGCAGCAUUCACAGGCCUGGCAAAGCUGGAAGGAGCCAGACAUUGGCAGUGCCACAGAGCUGGCUUCUCCUCAGCAAUCGCAGCAUCCCUUGGUCCCAGGGGAAAGCUGAUGGGCAGCCAAGCCAAUGAGUACUUGAUCUUGUCUUUACCUGAUCCUGUAGAAGAGCAGCACAGGCUGAGCAGCAGUGCUUGGCUUGGCUUGAACUGGAAGGAGGAGCCACGUGCAAUAAGCACUGCCUUUCACACGAGAAUCUGAAAUGGCAGCAUUUCCAGCAGCUGUGUUUGCUUUGAAAUGUACUGUAAACAGGCUAGCUAGUUGCUGAAUAAAUCUUACCCUAUCUAAAUACUACAGCUCCUGAUGAGGUGGAAGAAUGGCGAGCCCUUGGAGAGUUGUUUGGACUUUCCUUCUCUGGUUAUCCUGGCCUAGCCCCAAUGUUCUUGCUUCUCUUUGGAAGUGUGAAUAUUGACUGUCAUGGAAAUGGCCAACCGAAAUGCAACUGGAAUAUAUGCGCUGGUGAGCCAAGGCAUGUCCUUCUGCAUGGCCUGGAAAAUCUCUAGCACCAUUGAUGACAUGACCAUAAAGCCAGUGAGAGGAGACAGGAACUGCCAUGCACCUCUGGAGUAUUUCACAAUGAUCAGCUCCAAGCAAAGCCCUCCCUUGCAGAGAACUAAGUGCCUGUGCCCAUUGGAAGACAACCUGAUGGGACGUUAUCCUGGCAGAUAUCUGGGACAGAAAGGAAUCGUGCUGGUCUACCACCCCAGGAGGAGCAAGGCUUUCUGUCAGACAGCUGGUGGAAAGGAACAAGGGAAGGUGCCAUGAAUAAUUUUUCACUUAAACCCCAAUGUCUGGAAUUCAAAAUGAGAUUUCUCGGCGCUAUUCUAAUACAUACCUGGUAUAAAUCCACUUCGAACUUCCAAUUGAAAAUGCAGUCCUCAAGUCCAGCUAUGUAACCAGCUAAUGAAAGCUUUUGCUUCCGACAGACUUCUUCCUGGUCUGUCUGAAACAAGGCUGCAGCUCGGUGUGGUGUCUGUUGGGCAUGCUGUCGGUCUGCAUUCCCUUUGGGGCACUUUUGUUAUGGGUUCAUCAUUUGGUGGUGGCAUGGCCACAGCCUCAGAGUGAACCUUCUUCAGCAGGGAUUCAAGCAUAUUCCCAGGCAAAUGUAGACAGGUCUGGGUUUUUUAGGUACAUCCUUCAAAUAUCAAGGGCCCAAUGGCUUCAGGGCAUCUUGUGCUCAGGGGCAACCCAGAGCAGAGGAUGCUGCUCACGCAAUUAGUUCAAACCAUACGCAGAAUGCAGUUAUAGACAGGAUUUACAAAACAGCUUUGUAUUAGGCCAAACCUGCUCCCAUGGCGAUAUCUGAGUGGUACAUGCACAUAAACGGAGCAAAGCUAGGCCAGCGAAGAGCGUUUUGGGGAGCUGCCAGAGUACACAGUUGUGGGAUGACAUUUCUCAGUCACGCCCCGAAUUCUUAUAUUCUCCCAUCCUGGUAGAAGUGAAAGUCCUGUUACUUGGAAAUUAUUAGUUGUGCUUCCAGUUCUUAAACAAUUACUAAAGAGAGCUGUCUCGGGUUAUUUAUGGCACAGCUGCAAUCAGAAAAAUGGCCAUAAAAGUGCCAUUGGGGAUAACUGGUUCGGCCUCUCUUCAUGAGCAGCUUUCUUCACUCUAUUUACAAACCAGGGGCGUUGUCAGCCUCACAAGUUCAAGCCAGGGAGAUGAGAUUUAAAUGGGGUCAUUUCUGGCUCAAUAAUCAUUAGUAGUACUGAACUUUUUCAAGAUAAAGUGUGCUCCAUCUGGGUACUGAUUUUUGUCAGUCGGACCAGAGCUUCCAUCACAUAAAUUCUUUAAGGCCAACACUGCCAGCAUUUAUUUUUUUAAAGUAUCUUAUGGAAAAAGGCCUCAGAGGCAUAUUAUAUCGGAAUUAAAUGUUAUUUUUGAAUUAAUGUGUUCCUGAAUCAGUUAAACAAUUUUGGCCAACCCCAAGCGUUACUGUCGUUAAUAAAUAACUAAAUAACUAAAUAACUUCAAUUUACUGGCUAAUUCAUGCAGGACACCUUUAGAUGAAGCAGUGACCAGAUGUCCUCUGAGACUAGUGGAGAGAGAGAGAAAACACAGGAGAGAAAAAUAUCUGAAUACUCAACUAGGAAAUCCAGAUUUGGAGGGGAAAGGAUUCUGUGCCAUACAAUUUUGGUUAUUGUGAGUUUGGGACUGAAUAGUAUCAUUAUUUUUUAUAGUGCUAUAAAACAAAAAAACUCUUUUUAAGGAAUCCAGUUCUAGCUGUCCCUUUUGGGUAAUCAAGUCCAAGUGUGCUCUGUGCAGGAUAUAAUUAGCUUGAUGCACAAGCUAGUGAAGUAAAUGGACUUUUAAUGAUGUUCACAGUGUGCAAAAGAAAAGUA